UAAAAUAUAGGCUUAAAUUUAUAUAGGAAAAAAAAAAGAGAGAGGCUGAAGUAGAGAAUGAUGGGCCACGAGAGACUAGAAAAUGGCACAGCCGAGCCCAACCCAUGGGACGAAAACCCUAACCUUAUAUAACACUCACACACUCCCUUCGGAACCCACAAAUUCUCUCUCUGUCUCAUUCUCUUUUAUAGGCUGCGGAGAAUUCCUCUCUCUCUACCGCGAUUCUUCUUGAGGUGGUUCACCUCCUUAUAAUUACAAAUUGGUGGUUUCUCUUAAAUACUAGUCAAGAUGGUGAAGUUUACAGCAGAGGAACUCCGUAGGAUUAUGGACUACAAGCAUAACAUUCGUAAUAUGUCCGUUAUUGCACAUGUUGAUCAUGGGAAGUCAACCCUUACCGACUCUCUUGUUGCUGCUGCUGGUAUCAUUGCACAAGAAGUUGCUGGUGAUGUCCGGAUGACAGAUACCCGUGCAGAUGAGGCAGGGCGUGGUAUCACAAUCAAAUCUACUGGUAUCUCUCUCUACUAUGAGAUGACUGAUGAAGCUUUGAAGAGCUACAAGGGGGAGAGAAACGGAAAUGAGUACCUCAUCAAUCUCAUUGAUUCCCCUGGGCACGUUGACUUUUCAUCUGAAGUCACAGCUGCUCUUCGUAUUACUGACGGUGCACUUGUGGUGGUUGAUUGCAUUGAGGGUGUUUGUGUCCAAACAGAGACUCUGCUUCGUCAAGCCUUAGGAGAAAAGAUCAGACCUGUUUUCACUGUUAACAAGAUGGACAGGUGCUUCCUUGAGCUCCAGGUCGAUGGAGAGGAGGCUUACCGAGCAUUCCAAAGGGUUAUUGAGAAUGCUAAUGUCAUUCUGGCUACAUACGAAGACCCCCUUCUUGGUGAUGUCCAGGUACUAUCCAGUGAAAGGAACAGUCGCCUUUGCAGCUGGUUUACACAGAUGGGCCUUUACUCUGACCAACUUUGCCAAGAUGUAUGCAUCCAAGUUCGGAGUUGAUGAAUCAAAGAUGAUGGAAAGGCUCUGGGGUGAGAACUACUUUGACCCAGCUACCAAGAAAUGGACCAGCAAGAACACUGGUUCUGCUACCUGCAAGAGUGGUUUCGUUCAGUUCUGUUAUGAACCCAUCAAGCAGAUUAUCAACACCUGCAUGAAUGAUCAGAAGGACAAGUUGUGGCCCAUGUUGACAAAGCUUGGUGUCACAAUGAAGAGUGAUGAAAAGGAGCUGAUGGGGAAGGCGUUGAUGAAGCGUGUCAUGCAGACCUGGCUACCAGCCAGCAGUGCCCUAUUGGAAAUUAUCAUCUUUCACCUUCCCUCUACUUCAACAGACCAGAGAUACCGUGUUGAGAACCUUUACGAGGGUCCCCUUGAUGAUCAAUAUGCAAAUGCUAUCAGGAACUGUGAUCCUGAAGGACCUCUUAUGUUUUAUGUAUCUAAGAUGAUUCCCUCAUCUGACAAGGGUCGAUUCUUUGCGUUUGGUCGUGUCCUUGCUGGUAAAGUCCAGACAGGUUUGAAGGUUAGAAUCACGGUCCAAAUUAUGUUCCUGGAGAGAAGAAGGAUUUGUAUGUUAAGAACGUGCAGAGUAAUGUAUAA